UCGAGAAUAAUUCACAAUGGGGGCAACCCUGAUGGUGCAACGCCGCGUGGAGGAUGACGGUCUUCGGAUUGUAAACUCCUGUCAUCUGGGAGAAAGACCUGACGGUAAAUAGCCGGCAGGGUUGAUAGUACCAGAAGAGGAAGGGACGGCUAACUUCGUGCCAGCAGCCGCGGUAAUACGAAGGUCCCGAGCGUUGUUCGGAAUCACUGGGCGUAAAGGGAGCGUAGGCGGCGCGGUAAGUCGGAUGUGAAAUCCCGGGGCUCAACCCCGGAACUGCAUCUGAUACUGCCGUGCUAGAGUAAUGGAGAGGUAGCUGGAAUUAUCGGUGUAGCAGUGAAAUGCGUAGAUAUCGAUAGGAACACUCGUGGCGAAAGCGAGCUACUGGACAUUUACUGACGCUGAGGCUCGAAGGCUAGGGGAGCGAAAGGG
rnacentral:rRNA from 1 species